AGUAGGGAAUAUUGGACAAUGGGCGAAAGCCUGAUCCAGCAAUGCCGCGUGAGUGAUGAAGGCCUUAGGGUUGUAAAGCUCUUUUACCCGGGAUGAUAAUGACAGUACCGGGAGAAUAAGCUCCGGCUAACUCCGUGCCAGCAGCCGCGGUAAUACGGAGGGAGCUAGCGUUGUUCGGAAUUACUGGGCGUAAAGCGCACGUAGGCGGCUAUUCAAGUCAGAGGUGAAAGCCCGGGGCUCAACCCCGGAACUGCCUUUGAAACUAGAUAGCUUGAAUCCAGGAGAGGUGAGUGGAAUUCCGAGUGUAGAGGUGAAAUUCGUAGAUAUUCGGAAGAACACCAGUGGCGAAGGCGGCUCACUGGACUGGUAUUGACGCUGAGGUGCGAAAGCGUGGGGAGCAAA
rnacentral:rRNA from 1 species